rnacentral:lncRNA from 1 species
UUUCAUUCCACUAUUAUGUGAUCUUCUUUCAACUCGAGAUUCUGCAUUUCACUCUGAGCUAUUCUUUGCUAAUGGAGUAAGGUUAGCCUAAGUUUUGACAGUAUAUGAUGCGAGAAUAAUUUUGAUUAUUUAUGUUUGUACGUUCAUACAAUAUUCAAUCAUCUUAACUUCAACAAAUAAGCUAACAUAUGACUUUCCACAUUGAUCAAUUUGAGAAACUUGUUUAUUCUUAUGUGUAUAAUUCUUCACUCAGAGCUUGAUUUAAUAAUAUUGAUAUUUUCUUACAAUGAAGGGUAGCCUUGGAGUAACUGGUAAAGUUGCUGUCAUGUGGCCAGGAGGUCACGGAUUCAAGCCUUGGAAACAGCCUUUGGCAGAAAUGCAAGGUAAGACUGCGUACGAUAUACCCUUGUGGUGAGGCCCUUCUCCGG